rnacentral:lncRNA from 1 species
AUCGGAUCCGAGAGUCUUUUUCUAAAGGCCAGUACUGGCCACACUUUCUCCUGCCGCCUUCCUCAAAGCUGAAGACACACAGAGCAAGGCGCUUCUGUUUUACUCCCCAAUGGUAACUCCAAACCAUAGAUGGUUAGCUCCCUGCUCAUCUUUCCACAUCCCUGCUAUUCAGUAUAGUCCGUGGACCAAUCACACCAGCAUCGUAUGGGAGAGUGUAAGAAACAUGAAUCUGCAUGUCAACGAGAUCCCCAGAAAAUGAGGAGUGAAAUGGCCAGCUCAAACCCUCACUUCAAUAAAUGGUGCUGGGACAAGUAGAUAUCUACAUGCAUAAAAAUCAAGCUGACUCCUUCCUCACACUGUAAAACUGACUCAAAAUGUAUCACAGACCAAAUGUAAGGGAUUAAAACUAUUAAAACUCUCAGAAUAAAAUAUAAGAGUAAAUCUUUGUGACCUUGGGUUAGGCAAAGCUUUCACAGAUAUGAUACCAAAGGCGUAAGUGACAAAAGAAAAGAGAUAAAUUGGACUAUAUUAAAAUUAAAAACUUAUGCCAGGCGCGGUGGCUCACGCCU